GUCCUAAAGGGCCGUUGGAGACCACAACGUUGAUAGGUGGGGUGUGUAAGCGCGGCGACGUGUUGAGCUAACCCAUACUAAUUACCCGUGAGGCUUAACCAUACAACACCCAAGAAGUGUUCU
rnacentral:rRNA from 1 species